UACGGGGGGGGUAAGCGUUGUUCGGAAUUACUGGGCGUAAAGGGCUCGUAGGCGGCCAACUAAGUCAGACGUGAAAUCCCUCAGCUUAACUGGGGAACUGCGUCUGAUACUGGAUGGCUUGGAUCCGGGAGAGGGAUGCGGAAUUCCAGGUGUAGCGGUGAAAUGCGUAGAUAUUCGCAAGAACACCAGUGGCGAAGGCGGCUCACUGGCCCGGUACUGACGCUGAGGUGCGAAAGCGUGGGGAGCAAACAGG
rnacentral:rRNA from 1 species